UACAUGGGGUGCAAACGUUGCUCGGAAUUAUUGGGCGUAAAGGGCGCGUAGGCGGUUUGACAAGUCUGAUGUGAAAUCUAUGGGCUCAACCCAUAGCCUGCAUUAGAAACUGUCGGGCUUGAGUAUGGGAGAGGUGAGUGGAAUUUCCGGUGUAGCGGUGAAAUGCGUAGAUAUCGGGAGGAACACCUGUGGCGAAAGCGGCGCACUGGACCACAACUGACGCUGAGGCGCGAAAGCUAGGGGAGCAAACAGG
rnacentral:rRNA from 1 species